rnacentral:rRNA from 1 species
AUUGAACGCUGGCGGCAGGCCUAACACAUGCAAGUCGAGCGGAUGAAGGGAGCUUGCUCCUGGAUUCAGCGGCGGACGGGUGAGUAAUGCCUAGGAAUCUGCCUGGUAGUGGGGGAUAACGUCCGGAAACGGGCGCUAAUACCGCAUACGUCCUGAGGGAGAAAGUGGGGGAUCUUCGGACCUCACGCUAUCAGAUGAGCCUAGGUCGGAUUAGCUAGUUGGUGGGGUAAAGGCCUACCAAGGCGACGAUCCGUAACUGGUCUGAGAGGAUGAUCAGUCACACUGGAACUGAGACACGGUCCAGACUCCUACGGGAGGCAGCAGUGGGGAAUAUUGGACAAUGGGCGAAAGCCUGAUCCAGCCAUGCCGCGUGUGUGAAGAAGGUCUUCGGAUUGUAAAGCACUUUAAGUUGGCAGGAAGGGCAGUAAGUUAAUACCUUGCUGUUUUGACGUUACCAACAGAAUAAGCACCGGCUAACUUCGUG